GGCACAGUGGUAGAGUGGUUAAUACGUGAGACUUGAACGGUGCCGUCCCUCCCCUCCAAGGAGGGACCACUUUAAGAAUAUCUCAUCCCUUAGGGGUCGUAGGUUCGAAUCCUGCCUGUGUCG